UACGAAGGGGGCUAGCGUUGCUCGGAAUCACUGGGCGUAAAGCGCACGUAGGCGGUUUGCUAAGUCAGGGGUGAAAUCCUGGAGCUCAACUCCAGAACUGCCUUUGAUACUGUCGAUCUUGAGUCCGGGAGAGGUGAGUGGAACUGCGAGUGUAGAGGUGAAAUUCGUAGAUAUUCGCAAGAACACCAGUGGCGAAGGCGGCUCACUGGCCCGGUACUGACGCUGAGGUGCGAAAGCGUGGGGAGCAAACAGG
rnacentral:rRNA from 1 species